rnacentral:rRNA from 1 species
AUUGAACGCUGGCGGCAUGCUUUACACAUGCAAGUCGAACGGUAACAGGCCGCAAGGUGCUGACGAGUGGCGAACGGGUGAGUAAUGCAUCGGAACGUGCCCAGUCGUGGGGGAUAACGCAGCGAAAGCUGUGCUAAUACCGCAUACGAUCUAUGGAUGAAAGCGGGGGACCGUAAGGCCUCGCGCGAUUGGAGCGGCCGAUGUCAGAUUAGGGAGUUGGUGGGGUAAAGGCCUACCAAGCCGACGAUCUGUAGCUGGGCUGAGAGGACGACCAGCCACACUGGGACUGAGAAGCGGCCCAGACUCCUACGGGAGGCAGCAGUGGGGAAGUUUGGAAAAUGGGCGCAAGCCUGAUCCAGCAAUGCCGCGUGCAGGAAGAAGGCCUUCGGGUUGUAAACUGCUUUUGUACGGAACGAAACGGUCCGGGUUAAUACCCUGGGCUAAUGACGGUACCGUAAGAAUAAGCACCGGCUAACUACGUGCCAGCAGCCGCCGUAAUAC